rnacentral:miRNA from 1 species
UCCGCGAUCAGUGACCACAGC